GAUGAAGAACGUAGCGAAAUGCGAUAAGUAAUGUGAAUUGCAGAAUUCCGUGAAUCAUCGAAUCUUUGAACGCACAUUGCGCCCCCUGGUAUUCCGGGGGGCAUGCCUGUCCGAGCGUCAUUACAACCCUCAAGCUCAGCUUGGUAUUGGGCCCCGCCGACCCGGCGGGCCCUAAAGUCAGUGGCGGUGCCGUCCGGCUCCGAGCGUAGUAAUUCUUCUCGCUCUGGAGGUCCGGUCGUGUGCUCGCCAGCAACCCCCAAUUUUUUUCAGGUUGACCUCGGAUCAGGUAGGGAUACCCGCUGAACUUAAGCAUAUCAAUAAGCGGAGGA
rnacentral:misc_RNA from 1 species